CUCAGGACGUGAUACACUUCGCUGCCUUGCCAUGGCAACUAGAGAUUCACCCCCUGACCCUCGAACCCUGAAUUUAGAGAACUCUGCAGCCUUCACAGAAUAUGAGUCAGACUUGACAUUCGUAGGCUGUGUGGGAAUGUUAGAUCCACCCAGGAAGGAAGUGCUGAAUGCAGUGCGUAUGUGCAGACAGGCUGGUAUACGGGUCAUUAUGAUCACAGGUG